AGGACCCUGAAGGCAAAAUGAAAAAAUAGCUGGAGUUUAUCUAAGAUUGGUACUGUGGUCUCAUACAACUUCUCCAUAGUGACAGAAAAGAGAUUUAGUAAUCUCUAACACUUGGCCUAAUCCUAGAUGCCUCCCAGCUGGGGGUCGCAUUUGGUCAGGAAGGAACUUCCAUGGUGACAAGAAGACAAGGCCAGAGGUACCACUUUGGAGGUUUCAUAACCUCCAAAGGGGAUAGAUAACAUGACUCAUUUUCCCAGCUCUAUUGUGGUUAUUCAAAUAAGUGACCAUAGUCAAUGUCUGUGAGCAGCUGCUGCAAGGUCAGGAGAACUCACCAAGACCUGAUGCUGUUUCAGUAUCACAGCAUGUCAAAGGAAUGAUUUCUAGCUUCCUGUAGACACCAUUAGCUAAAUUGCAGUAUCUGCUUCUCUUAUCGUCUUUGCCAGGGUCAUUGUUUCUUGCACUGAACCUCGGAGGAAGGAUGAGGAGAGAGGGCCUGUCUCAGAUACUUACCUGUAUAUACCUGUGGGAGGAAGAAGAAAAAGGUGUGUCCACCUAGAAUAAUUUGUUUGCUGGAAGUUCUGUUGUUGGCAGAAAAUGGAAGCUACAAACUAGUGUGGUUAUCAGCAGGGAAUGGGAUCAAAGUUUCAGUCCAACAAGUCCAGGCAACUUUCAGCUUGAAGGCCAAGGUGUUACUACUUAGAAUUUAGGGCACAGAAGGCUGGUGUGUGUCGGCAGUGAUAUUUGGGAGAAUGAGUCUGUUUGGGAGACACUUUAGGUCAUACCAGAACUCAGGGGCCUGGACUUCUCCAAAUGAUCUCUCCAGCAGAGAGGCUGGACAUCUUCUAUAGCACCUCAGGGCUCCUAAGAACGCGGAAGUAGGAGUUGCCAGGUCUUAUUAAGACUGAGUCCUGAAACAGGUGCAGCAUCACUUCCACUGCACUCUCUUGGUUAAAGCAAGUCACAUACCCAACCCAGAGUGGAGUACAUGAGGUCCUGACUUCCAGGAGGUGUGUACACCAGGAGGGGUGUUUCACUGGGGGCCAUCAAUGUAAUGAACUGUCAUAGCAAGUGAGGCAGAGCAUUGAUUCUAGCAAUUCUUUUAGAGACUCUGAGACCCUUGGAGACAGAACUGUAGAGAUCAUCUAGCCCAACUCAUUGAGGAAACGGAGGUCCUGAUGACUACUGUCCACAGGGGCCGUGUGGAUGCUCUGGGUUUUCGCUUAAAGAAGUGAC
rnacentral:lncRNA from 1 species